GCCAGACUCCUACGGGAGGCAGCAGUGGGGGAUAUUGCACAAUGGGGGAAACCCUGAUGCAGCGACGCCGCGUGUGGGAAGACGGUCCUCUGGAUUGUAAACCACUGUCCCCAGGGACGAAGAUGACGGUACCUGGGGAGGAGGCUCCGGCUAACUACGUGCCAGCAGCCGCGGUAAUACGUAGGGGGCAAGCGUUAUCCGGAUUUACUGGGUGUAAAGGGAGCGUAGACGGCAUGGCAAGUCUGAAGUGAAAGCCCGGGGCUCAACCGCGGGACUGCUUUGGAAACUGUUAAGCUGGAGUGCAGGAGAGGUAAGUGGAAUUCCUAGUGUAGCGGUGAAAUGCGUAGAUAUUAGGAGGAACACCAGUGGCGAAGGCGACUUUCUGGACUGUACCUGACGCUGAGGCGCGAAAGCGUGGGUAGCGAACGGGAUUAGAUACCCCCGUA
rnacentral:rRNA from 1 species